rnacentral:lncRNA from 1 species
UUUUUUUUUUAACUUUAAUUAGGUUGUCGGUUUUCUAGAUAAACUUGUUUUACAAUUGUCAUUUGGGGACUUUGUAUACCUGACUAUGAAUUAUGGGCUUUCCUCAUUGUUUAAGGUUGUACGGUGACCUAUACAGCUGUUAAUUUCUGUGUCAUUUGGUCUCUUGUGUACAAUUGUCUCGUGGGUAAUCAUACAACAUUUUCUUGCUUAUAAUUAUAAAAAAGAGUGGGCUA